rnacentral:rRNA from 1 species
GACGAACGCUGGCGGCGUGCUUAACACAUGCAAGUCGAACGGUGAAGCUCCAGCUUGCUGGAGUGGAUCAGUGGCGAACGGGUGAGUAACACGUGAGCAACCUGCCCCUGACUCUGGAAUAAGCGCUGGAAACGGCGUCUAAUACUGGAUACGAGAAGGGUCCGCAUGGGCACUUUCUGGAAAGUUUUUCGGUUGGGGAUGGGCUCGCGGCCUAUCAGCUUGUUGGUGAGGUAAUGGCUCACCAAGGCGACGACGGGUAGCCGGCCUGAGAGGGCGACCGGCCAAACGGGAACUGGGACACGGCCCAGACUCCUACGGGAGGCAGCAGUGGGGAAUAUUGCACAAUGGGCGAAAGCCUGAUGCAGCGACGCCGCGUGGGGGAUGACGGCCUUCGGGUUGUAAACCUCUUUCAGCAGGGAAGAAGCGAAAGUGACGGUACCUGCAGAAGAAGCACCGGCUAACUACGU